AGCGUAGGCGGCAAGGCAAGUCUGAUGUGAAAACCCGGGGCUCAACCCCGGGACUGCAUUGGAAACUGCUUAGCUAGAGUGUCGGAGAGGUAAGUGGAAUUCCUAGUGUAGCGGUGAAAUGCGUAGAUAUUAGGAGGAACACCAGUGGCGAAGGCGACUUACUGGACGAUAACUGACGCUGAGGCUCGAAAGCGUGGGGAGCAAACA
rnacentral:rRNA from 1 species